rnacentral:sRNA from 1 species
CUUGCUGGAUGAUGAUGACCAAGUGGCGUUUUCUUUCAUUCUGGACAACAUUGUCACCCAGAAAAUGAUGGCAGUUCCAGAUUCUUGGCCAUUUCAUCACCCAGUUAAUAAGAAAUUUGUUCCAGAUUAUUACAAAGUGAUUGUCAAUCCAAUGGAUUUAGAGAGCAUACGUAAGAACAUCUCCAAGCACAAGUAUCAGAGUCGGGAGAGCUUUCUAGAUGAUGUAAACCUUAUUCUGGCCAACAGUGUUAAGUAUAAUGGACCUGAGAGUCAGUAUACUAAGACUGCCCAGGAGAUUGUGAACGUCUGUUACCAGACAUUGACUGAGUAUGAUGAACAUUUGACUCAACUUGAGAAGGAUAUUUGUACUGCUAAAGAAGCAGCUUUGGAGGAAGCAGAAUUAGAAAGCCUGGACCCAAUGACCCCAGGGCCCUACACGCCUCAGCCUCCUGAUUUGUAUGAUACCAACACAUCCCUCAGUAUGUCUCGAGAUGCCUCUGUAUUUCAAGAUGAGAGCAAUAUGUCUGUCUUGGAUAUUCCCACUGCCACUCCAGAAAAGCAGGUAACACAGAUGCGCCAGGGCCGAGGUAGGCUGGGCGAGGAAGACUCUGAUGUAGAUAUUGAAGGGUAUGAUGAUGAGGAGGAGGAUGGGAAACCUAAGACUCCAGCCCCAGAAGGUGAAGAUGGAGAUGGUGAUCUUGCAGAUGAAGAGGAAGGAACUGUACAACAGCCUCAAGCCAGUGUCCUGUAUGAGGAUUUGCUUAUGUCUGAAGGAGAAGAUGAUGAGGAAGAUGCUGGGAGUGAUGAAGAAGGAGACAAUCCUUUCUCUGCUAUCCAGCUGAGUGAAAGUGGAAGUGACUCUGAUGUGGGAUCUGGUGGAAUAAGACCCAAACAACCCCGCAUGCUUCAGGAGAACACAAGGAUGGACAUGGAAAAUGAAGAAAGCAUGAUGUCCUAUGAGGGAGACGGUGGGGAGGCUUCCCAUGGUUUGGAGGAUAGCAACAUCAGGUACCAAUGAACAAGCCAUUCAGAGAUGGAUCCACAAAGAUCUCUGGAGCAAUGACCAGGUCCUGCUCUACCCGAUUCUCAGCUUUGGGGAUAGAAUUCCCAGAAACAUCUGUGUCCGGAGUUGGUUCCUUCCAGUGGGUUCUUGGUCUUGCUGACUUCAAGAAUGAAGCCGUGGACCUUCGCGCUUCAGGCUGAAGAUAGUGAAAAUCCGUGCCAGACUUGGAUUGGAAGAAUGAACCAAGGCUUUGAGUCUCUUCGUCUCAUCUCCGUUUUGAUACGUGUCUCCUUAGUUUGUAAGCCAAGGAGAGGACUACAGUGAGGAUUGCGGAGGGAAGUGGACCUUAUUGGUCUUUGAGCUCUCACAUCUUUAAAGACUGUUGGUGCUGAGAGAAAAAGUAUCCUCAUCUGGCAGAACUCCCAUAGGGUGUGCUCCCCUUGCUGUUCUGCUUUUGUUUUGCAGAAAGCUGCCUUUUUCAAUGUACUCAUUAGGCUUUCAUUGUUUUUUCCUUUUUUACCUUUUUCAUCUUUCACUGUUGAUAUCACAGGUGGCCAUAUCUUUACCAGUGCAGCUACCAAAUAAGAAAUCAUCUUUUCCACAUUCACUAGUUAGUGAUGGUUGUUGUACUACCAUGAAAUCAGUUUCUUCUUUACUUUUAUUCAGGUUACAAGAUUUCUGGAAGGUUUUAAGAUCAAUUUUAAUUAGUCUUUGUGACUGGUUACUUCAUCCAGGGGACCAAUUUCUCUCUGGAAUAUUAGUCCCGCACCCCUGGAGAGCCUGUGCGGCUGCAUCUCCCUCCGGAGGUGGUUCUGGAGUUGGUUCCUUUUGGUGGGUU